rnacentral:rRNA from 1 species
UACGUAGGGUGCGAGCGUUGUCCGGAAUUAUUGGGCGUAAAGGGCUCGUAGGCGGUUUGUCGCGUCGGGAGUGAAAACACCGGGCUUAACUCGGUGCUUGCUUUCGAUACGGGCAGACUAGAGGUAUGCAGGGGGAGAACGGAAUUCCUGGUGUAGCGGUGAAAUGCGCAGAUAUCAGGAGGAACACCGGUGGCGAAGGCGGGUUCUCUGGGCCGAUUACCUGACGCUGAGGAGCG